AUUUGGCUUGAUCGAUA
rnacentral:sRNA from 1 species